rnacentral:rRNA from 1 species
CAGUCGCCGCGGUAAUACGGGGGGGGCAAGUGUUAUUCGGAAUGACUGGGCGUAAAGGGCACGUAGGCGGUGAAAAGGGUGGAAAGUGAAAGUCGCCAAAACACUGGCGGGGUGCUUUCUUGACCAUUUCACUUGAGUGAGAUAGGGGAGAGUGGAAUUUCGUGUGGAGGGAUCAAAUCCUAAGAUAUACGAAGGAACGCCAACCGCGAAGGCAGCUCUCUGGGUCCCCACUGACGCUGGGGUGCGAAAGCAUGGGGAGCAAACAGGAUCAGAGACCCCGGUAGUCCCUGUCUCUUAUACA